rnacentral:rRNA from 1 species
AUGGAACAAUGGUUCCAGUUGGAGGAAAUUGCCAAAAGCAUUACCUUUACUGUCGAGCCGGAUGCCUUGAUUUGGCAGCUGGACAAUAAGGGGAAGUAUUCCUCCAGCUCCCUCUAUCAUGUUAUCAACUUUAGAGGGGUUCAACCCGUGUUUAUCCCUGUUGUCUGGAAAUUGAGAGUUCCCCCUAAAAUUCAUGUAUUUAUCUGGCUUCUCUCCAAAAACAAAUUGAUGACUAGGGAUAACCUUAGGAAGAGACACAUCAUCAAACCCCUUGAUUGUGUUUACUGCUUGGAACAUGAGUCUUGUUCUCACCUAUUUUUUGAAUGUAUAGUUGCUAAACAUCUCUCGACCCACAUUGAGGAAUAUUUCUCUAGUCAGAUUGGCUCAUCCUUCGAAUCUGUCACGAGAUUCUAG